rnacentral:lncRNA from 1 species
CAGGGGGCGAAAGAGUGUAUGCAUUGUGGAACCCAUCAUUAGCUUGUGUUUCCCUGGGGAACAUAUAUACUGGUGCACCUUUGUGAUAGCAGGUGGUGAAAUGUUUGGUGGAAAAGCAUUUCACUGGAAGUCCUUCACGGAAGAGGAGACUCUCAUCCAUACACAUUCAGCUCAUUUAGGAUUCUGGACACUCAACCGUCUGAGGACAGAGCCCAGUUUGAGAUCCUCAAGUCCCAGAUGUACGCCGAGUGAGCAGCCAAGAGGGACCGCACACCUAAACGAGCCAGGGCCAUGCCAGAGGAUGAGCCUGUCCAGAAAGGCCCAUCCCUCCCCCGUGUCAUCGAUGGCCAGCCAGCGUAUACGGUGUCGCUUAUUUUCCCUGGUGUAUGUAUCCCUGUGUUUCCUGUCUCUCUGUGCCAGUUCGUCUUGUCAAGUCAACCAGUGUUUUGACCAUUGCCUGCCCUGACUCUGUACCCGUAUGCUUGACUAUUCUGCCUGCCCUGACCUCGAGCCUGCCUGCCUGCCUGGACUAUGACCUUGUUAUGAACUUUUUACCUGUACACGACCAUUAUCUUGCCUGCCCCUUGGAUCCUAAUAAAUAUCAGAGACUCGAACCAUCUGCCUCCCAUGUCUGCAUCUUAGUCUUGCCCUGUGCCUUAUACAUAUACAGUUGAAGUCAGAAGUUAACAUACACUUAUGUUGGAGCCAUUAAAACUCAUUUUUCAACCGCUCCACAAAUUUCUUGUUAACAAUCUAUAGUUUUGGCAAGUCGGAUAAGACAUUUACUUUGUGCAUGACAAGUCAUUUUUCCAACAAUUGUCUACAGACUAUUUCACUUAUAAUUCACUGUAUCACAAUUCCAG